rnacentral:rRNA from 1 species
UAUUGGGCCAUGGGCGCAAGCCUGACCCAGCAACGCCGCGUGAAGGAAGAAGGCCCUCGGGUUGUAAACUCCUUUUAUCAGGGCCGAAACAAAUGACGGUACCUGAUGAAUAAGCCACGGCUAACUACGUGCCAGCAGCCGCGGUAAAACGUAGGUGGCAAGCGUUAUCCGGAUUUACUGGGUGUAAAGGGCGUUUAGGCGGGAGAGCAAGUCAGACGUGAAAUUCCAGGGCUCAACCCUGGAACUGCGUUUGAAACUGUUCUUCUUGAGUGAUGGAGAGGCAGGCGGAAUUCCGUGUGUAGCGGUGAAAUGCGUAGAUAUACGGAGGAACACCAGUGGCGAAGGCGGCCUGCUGGACAUUAACUGACGCUGAGGCGCGAAAGCGUGGGGAGCAAACAG